UCAGGAAUGGUUAAGAUUCAUCCUCUGCUAAUGAUGUGAAUUAUUGCAAGUGCGUGUGAAGAGAUAAACAAUUGUGAUAUCAACAGCUCGUGUAACUCAGAUAACUGUGAUUUUACGCGUGGUAAAUAUUGUCAUUGGGUCCGUGAUAAAAACCAGCGCUGCUAUUGACAAACAAA